rnacentral:rRNA from 1 species
UACGGAGGGUGCAAGCGUUAUCCGGAUUCACUGGGUUUAAAGGGUGCGUAGGCGGACAGGUAAGUCAGUGGUGAAAUCUCUGGGCUUAACCCAGAAACUGCCGUUGAUACUAUUUGUCUUGAAUAUCCUGGAGGUAGGCGGAAUAUGUCAUGUAGCGGUGAAAUGCUUAGAUAUGACAUAGAACACCGAAAGCGAAGGCAGCUUACUACAGGAUGAUUGACGCUGAGGCACGAAAGCGUGGGGAGCAAACAGG